rnacentral:rRNA from 1 species
AACGAACGCUGGUGGUAUGCUUAACACAUGCAAGUCGAACGGACAAGAAUAAAGCUUGCUUUAUUCAAGUUAGUGGCAAACGGGGUGAGUAACGCGUGGGAAUCUGCCCAUUAGUACGGAAUAACUUUUGGAAACAAAAGCUAAUACCGUAUGUUCUCUAAGGAGAAAAGAUUUAUCGCUAAUGGAUGAGCCCGCGUAAGAUUAGGUAGUUGGUGGGGUAAUGGCCUACCAAGCCGACGAUCUUUAGCUGGUCUGAGAGGAUGAUCAGCCACACUGGGACUGAGACACGGCCCAGACUCCUACGGGGGGGCAGCAGUGAGGAAUAUUGGACAAUGGGCGAAAGCCUGAUCCAGCAAUACCACGUGAAUGAUGAAGGCCUUAGGGUUGUAAAGUUCUUUUAAUAGGGUAAGAUAAUGACGGUACCUAUAG